GAAGANNNANAGNGGANCGGAUUAUUGCUGGCCCUUUGGGCAUUUGUGCACAUCCUACUACACUUUCUGUCGACCUUUUUAACCCAACACACCUGUGCACACGUUGUAGAUCCUCGAAAGAGGCUCUAUGUUUUUAUAUAUACCACAUCUGUCGUAUGGCUACAGAAUGUUAUUAAACGAUCCGUCGAUCAGGCUGGCCCUGGUUGCUCGGUCGGAUUAAAUGAAAUAAAUACNACUUUCAGCAACGGAUCUCUUGGCUCUCGCAUCGAUGANGAACGCANCGAAUUGCNAUAAGUAAUGUGAAUUGCANAUUUCCAGUGAAUCAUCGAAUCUUUGAACGCACCUUGCGCUCCUUGGUAUUCCGAGGAGCAUGCCUGUUUGAGUGUCAUUUAAUUCUCAACCAUGUCUUUAGUUAGACAUGGCUUGGAGUUGGGGGUUGCUGGCGGCCGGAAUGGCUAUCAGCUCCCCUGAAAUGCAUUAGCGAUGGGUUGUCUGGUCUUUGAGACGUGCACGGCCUUCGACGUGAUAAUGAUCGUCGUGGCUGGAGCGUCUUUAGACCAUACAUGAAUAGCCCAAGCUUCUAAUAAAGCCAACAAAGUCGGAUUGGAUCGGUUGGAUUUGGAAUCAUGAGGCUUUAGUUACUAGUCAGUCGUGAGGCUGACGAACACAAAGCAAUCAGUAUCCGGACUUAGUUUUGGAAGGGAGAACGCACUGAGCUUUAGUUACUAGUUAGUCCGUGAGGCUGACGAACGCAAAGCAAAGGGUUAAUAUUCUUUCCAGACUUGGUUUCGCAAGGGAGAACGCACUGAGCUUUAGCUACUAGUUAGUCNGUGAGGCUGACGAACACAAAGCAAAGGGGUUAGUAUUUCUUUCUGGACUANGAUUCCAUUCUGUUCUGUUCCUUUACGGUUUCAAAGACUUGACCUCAAAUCNNNAGGAUUACCCGCUGAA
rnacentral:rRNA from 1 species